rnacentral:rRNA from 1 species
AACGAACGCUGGCGGCAGGCUUAACACAUGCAAGUCGAACGCCCCGCAAGGGGAGUGGCAGACGGGUGAGUAACGCGUGGGAACAUACCCUUUCCUGCGGAAUAGCUCAGGGAAACUGGAAUUAAUACCGCAUACGCCCUAAGGGGGAAAGAUUUAUCGGGGAAGGAUUGGCCCGCGUUGGAUUAGCUAGUUGGUGGGGUAAAGGCCUACCAAGGCGACGAGCCAUAGCUGGUCUGAGAGGAUGAUCAGCCACAUUGGGACUGAGACACGGCCCAAACUCCUACGGGAGGCAGCAGUGGGGAAUAUUGGACAAUGGGCGCAAGCCUGAUCCAGCCAUGCCGCGUGAGUGAUGAAGGCCUUAGGGUUGUAAAGCUCUUUCACCGAUGAAGAUAAUGACGGUAGUCGGAGAAGAAGCCCCGGCUAACUUCGUGCCAGCCGCCGCGGUAACAC